UUCCAUGGUGAGGACAAUCUGAUAUGUAUCCUUGAAAGCACUCCCAUGCUUCUAGAAUGGUUUCUGUUUUCUACUGUUGGAAAAUAACAAUAUUUCCUCUUAAGGAA
rfam:Sorghum bicolor cultivar BTx623 chromosome 3, whole genome shotgun sequence.